CGGCCGCCGCCAGCUGAGGGGAGCGUCGCGGGCCGAGGAGCAGAUGCCGCGGGGGCCGCUCGCAGCCGCCGCUGACUUGUGAAUGGGACCGGGACUGGGGCCGGGACUGACACCGCAGCGCUUACCCUGCGCCAGGGACUGGCGGCUCGGAGUUUGCGUCCACCCUCAAGGGCCCCAGAAUUACAUGGCUGCUUUGUAAAGAUUCUGGUUUGGGGACCCUCAUAUGGGAAACGCCAUGACAUUGACCUCGUGGUCUGAUUUACAAUGCCAGUACUGCGCUCCCAGGAGCAUAGCGUGUCCUGGAACCUUGCCUGUGAAUGCCUGUGACUUAUGAAGUGGUAACUUAUGAAGUUGGUAAACUUUGAUCUCUUAUAUUCAAAUCUGUUUUCAGAACCAUCUAAACAAGAUCUUCAAAUCUGAUUUUAGUCUUCCUUCAUUCUCAAUACGUGUAUAUAGGUAGAUGUUGGAGAAACAACAAUUUCAUUGGAAUUUACUUUCAAUAUUGAUGUUUUCACUUUGAUCACAGGCAUACUUACU
rnacentral:sRNA from 1 species